GACGAACGUUGGCGGCGUGCUUAAUACAUGCAAGUCCACUGAAGCAGUGGUAGCAAUAUCGCUGUGGAGGUGGCGCACGGGUGAGUAACACGUAGGUAAUCUGCCUUCAGGUCUGGCAUAACUCCGGGAAACCGGGGCUAAUAGCAGAUGAUGCAGCGGCUCGACAUCGAGACAGUUGUUAAAGCUAUGGCGCCUGAAGAUGAGCCUGCGUCUGAUUAGCUAGUUGGCGGGGUAACGGCCCACCAAGGCAACGAUCAGUAGCUGGUCUGAGAGGAUGAUCAGCCACACUGGAACUGAGACACGGUCCAGACUCCUACGGGAGGCAGCAGUAAGGAAUAUUGCUCAAUGGGAGAAAUCCUGAAGCAGCAACGCCGCGUGAGGGACGAAGGGCUUUUGCUUGUAAACCUCUGUAGUGAGGGAAAAAAAUCCCAAUCUUUGGGACAUGAUGGUAUCUCAAAAGUAAGCCCCGGCUAACUACGUG
rnacentral:rRNA from 1 species